GGCGAAUACGCACGGCAGCCGCCCGCUGUGGAGUCCGUCCCGCCGCGAGGCACACAGCGUCCACUCCGCAGCUGACGCAGCUUCACUCCACCGACGUCACAGAUGGCUAGGGGAGAGGGCUCAGGCGAGGGGAUGGGCGCGGGCGCCGGUGGCGACGACGGCGGCGGCGCCAUCUGGAGCAUCGUCUGGCUCAUCAUCCUGCUGCUCAUCAGCUUCUGGAUAGCGGGAUUCUGCGCUGCCUGGUACAUCCUCUUCUCCAUCUUCGUGCCGUGCAUCGAAGGCCUCAAGCCCGUCUGCGACAUCUUGAUGGCAGGAGUUCAGUUUCCUCGGAUGUGCUCAGAGAAUAUGCUGGCUCAAAAACCCAUCGGAUAGACGAAGUACAAACUGAGUCGAUGGUCACUGGAGCACCCGAUUUAAGGUGGUGUCUCAGGACGCGGCCGCGGUCGUGGAGGACGCGUCUGGUCACACUCGGGCGUUGAGUGUACCUCAGAUCGUGUGAAAGGAUGUUGUUGCCAGUCGGCCACUGAGGUGUCCACCCUAUCGUGUUACAACGCCACUUCAUUACGCCGCUUGUAAUAAUGCCACUUCAUGAUUCAUGCGGCGUAAUCUCGUUUGACGUGAAAGAAACAGUCUAAACGCGGACCAGCGCAUGUUGUAUUUUAAUACGAAAUACACACCUGCAUGUGA